AUUGAACGCUGGCGGCAUGCUUUACACAUGCAAGUCGAACGGCAGCGCGGGCUUCGGCCUGGCGGCGAGUGGCGAACGGGUGAGUAAUACAUCGGAACGUGCCCAGCAGUGGGGGAUAGCUCGGCGAAAGCCGGAUUAAUACCGCAUACGACCUGAGGGUGAAAGCGGGGGAUCAUCGGACCUCGCGCUAUUGGAGCGGCCGAUGGCAGAUUAGCUAGUUGGUGGGGUAAAGGCCUACCAAGGCGACGAUCUGUAGCUGGUCUGAGAGGACGACCAGCCACACUGGGACUGAGACACGGCCCAGACUCCCACGGGAGGCACCAGUGGGGAAUUUUGGACAAUGGGCGAAAGCCUGAUCCAGCAAUGCCGCGUGUGUGAUGAAGGCCUUCGGGUUGUAAAGCACUUUUGGCGGGAACGAAAAGGACUGUGCCAAUACCACGGUUCGAUGACGGUACCCGCAGAAUAAGCACCGGCUAACUACGUG
rnacentral:rRNA from 1 species